CGGCAGAGGGACCCGCCGGAACGGAACGGGUUGGCGGGGUGGGGGUGGGGCCGCCGGAACAGAUCAGUGGAGAAUUCUGCCAGAACAGAUCGGCGGAGAAUUCCGCCACAGACAGUAGGAGCUACCUACCCAACUCGGCAGGUGCGACCUGCCUACGCGAAUUGGUGGGAACCACCAGGAGACGUUCCACAAGGGAACUUCGGGGGGGUCCCCCGAAAGGAACAGACUGCCCUUGAAGUCAGGACCAAAGAAACAAUAGGAACUGUCCAGGGCAGUAGAAGAGGGGAGAGAAAACGAGCGAUAAAUCGAAAUGAAAGUAAACAAAAAAAUCUGGUCUCCUCCUGCAAGGAGAUCUGAUCUCGGUUUAAUCUCACGGGGGCUUCCAAAUGUAUGACCGGUACCGCAGAGGAGACUCCAAGGGCUCUACUCUCAUGUAAGAACAAAGGGGUCUUUAUUGGUCUGUGUGCACGGGGUCCUCCGUACAAGCGGGAACAGAGGGCCCCGAGUGUAGGUGAGGCAGGUGCUUUUAAGGGAAAAAAUCGCAAAGCAAGCAUUUUUUUACAGAAGCCAAUCACAGCAGUUAGAGCGGGAUAGUCAACAGUUUACUUAUUUGUGGUUGGUCAGCUCAUAAGAGAUGACCAACGGGUCAGAGUUAAUUAACUGUCUUGUUCUGCACAACUUAUCUUUAGGACACCUGGUUUCUCUAUGGCUCGAGUUUGACAUGUUUCCACAACCCUGAUUAGCGUAAUGGCAGGCUCUAUCUCUGAGUUCCCUGGCACAGCACAGCCCGAGAAUAUCACAGCUGCAGAUAUUUUCUUUUUGAUUCUCCCUAGGAGCUGAGUUUGGGCUAAGCCAUGAGGCACAGAGCUGCUUCUAGCUGAGAAACAGCAUCUUGUUUUUAACCUUUAAAUUUCUGGUCCUUCAACUUAAGGAUAUUCUAUGAGCCAGUAUACAGUCUGUUUUGGAGAAUGUCCCUUGUGUAGCUUUAGAAGAGCAUGUAUUGGGAUGUUAUGGAGUGGAACAUAUAGACAUCUACUAAUUCCAUUGUUUUUAAAAGUUUGAUUUAGUUGUGAUAUUUCAUGAUUGAUUUUUUGUGUAGUUGAUCUGCCUUUUUAUGUCAUGAUGGAGUAGUGAGGUUUCCCAAUAAAAUUGUAUUAGGGCAUAAUUUUUCAUGUCUGUCAGUAAUUGUUUAUAUUGGGUGGGUGCACCAUUAUAUGUUGCAUAUACAUUUAUGGUUGUUGCAUCUUCCUCUUAGAUUGUUCCAUUGACAAGGAUAUAGUGACUAUCUUUAUCUCUGUUAAUUAGUCUUGGCUUGAUAUUCAUUUUAUCUUCAAAUAGAAUAGCUAACACAAUUUUUUUCUGGGUUACUGUCACAUGAAGUAUUGUUUUCCACCCUUUGAUUUUCAGUCUAUGAAUUUCUUUGGAAUUAAGUAUGUUUAUUUUAUACAGCAUAUUAUGGGAUCUUGCUUCUUGAUCUCUUCUGACAGUCUGUGUCUUUGGAUUGCUGUAGUCUGUGCCUUUGUAUUGCUGCAUGAGAACACUAACAUUGAUGGUUAUAACUGAGAUGUACUGACUUACCCUUGUCAUGUUGUUUUACUGUUGUUGGCUCCCAGUUUGUCCCCUUCCUCUAAUGGUUUGCCCAAAGGGCUUAACAUUUAGAAUGGAUUAAGGACAAAAUAGAGAAUAGGAAGAAGAGAAAGAGAAUAAAAAUAAGGUGUGAGGACAAAAGGAGAUCGUGCCAACUUGGGGAGCUGGUGCUGAAGACUAAGGAAAAGAGAGAUGCAAGCCAUGAAACAAAGAGCAGAACAGAAUCCCACCCACAGCGAGGUCAGGAGCCACGUCCGCAGUCACAUAAAAACAGUGAAGGUGACAGAAAAAAAAAAGAAAAACAAACAGUCCACUUCCUGGAUUCCCUGUUUCACUAGGAAGACAACCUCUGGAGACAGAGUCCCAAAUCAUGCACUGAGUUUGGUCUGCAACACAAAAUAAAAAGCUAACAAUCACUUUCAGUGAAGAUUUCACAUAGCAGAUAGCAGGGAAAAAUAUUAUAAUAUCUAUCAAUAUGGCAAAUUUACAUAUGCAUCAUUUUCUCAGUCUACUAUUACAGAGAACUGUUAAUCUGUAAUACUUUAUUUUAUUUAUUUAUUUAUUUAUUUUUUUGUCUUUUUCCUUUUUAUCGGUACCAGGGAUCGAACUCACGACUGCCUGCUUGCAAUGCAGGAGCUUGUGCCACUGAGCUAAAUCCCCAGCCCCGAUGUGUAAUAAUUUAGAAUGUGUUUAAUAAUCUUUCUCACAAGGAUCAAUCCCAAUCUGUAUCCCUGGACACCUCUAUUUUUAUACAGUUGAGCCAAAGUCAAUUUUGAAGGUCCCCAAUAUUUGUGGAGAGUUUUUUAAAAUCACACACUAGAGCCUUUUUUCCUGGUACGCUCCUAAGCAAAGUUACCUUGUUUAAGUGUUUAACACCCUCAUCAGCAACCUGGCUCAAGGCUAGUGUUAUAUACACAAGGUCCUCACGUAGCACCUGUAAACCAAGCACUACGAUGACAGUCACGUCCCUUGUGCUUCUCCCAUUUACUUCUUGUAAUAGCCUAUGGGUUCAUUUCCUUGGGUCAUUAAACUUUUCGAAGCAGUCAGCUGUGUUCUCUUCACAUUUUCUCAUCCCAUUUCAUUAGCUAUUUGUUUGUGACAACAUCAAAAUCAGCCUUCUCCAGCAGUAUUUUCCAUGCUAGAAGUGCUCUGUAGCCAGCCUGUGAAAGUUACCCACUGGCAAAUUAGGUUUCAAAGAGCUGCGUGGAGAUGCGCAGCUACAGGAUCAGAGGGUGCAUGGUCUAGGCCAGCAGCUUAAUAAGAAACCCUGGCAUUCCCAAAGAGGACGUGCUCAGGAGUCCAGCUUCCUUACUCUUCCCAAACACAGUGAUUUUUCUUAAGUAAUAGCAUGCUACUUAACCUGAGAUAGGGGAAAAUGCAUAAAAGGAAGCUUUUGAAGCAUAACAGAUUACUCCCUGUUUAGAAAAAAGAAAAGCAGCACUGUCAGAGAUUUAAAAUUCAAGUAAAAUUCACAAAUUUCCAGUUUUUCUGAAAACAAAGAUUUAUUUUUUUCAACAGGUACAUAACAUGGAGUCUCAACCAAAUAUAUACAUGUGCAAAGAGGAAACUAAUAUGGCAAAAUGUUUACUAUAGACAACAGUUAUGGGUAGUUUUUGGAGGUUUACUUGUGAUUUCCCAAGUUUUCUAUAAUAAAUGUGCUUGAGAAAAAUUUAACAAAAAUGUGAAUCCCCACCAGGCAAGCCUCAGUUGAGACUAGGGCUUCAGCCUCCUGAGAGAGCUUAAGGCAGAGGGACCUAGCUGAGCUGUAUCUUGGCACACAGAAUCUGGGAGAAAGUAAAUGUUAAAUUUUGUCUUGAGCCAGGGUCUUACUAUGAAGCCUAAGUUGGUCUUCAACUCACAGUGAUCUUCCUGCAUCAGCCUCCUACAUGCUGAGAUUACAGGUGUGUGCCACCAUGUAAAGGAGUUCCUUCAGGCUACUAAGAUUAGGGUAAUGUUGCCUCACAGCACAGGCUUGUGGGUCUCAGGCUCUGGUUCCCCGCUGCUCUCUGUCCUCCUCUGCUCCAGUAACCUGAGCAUUACAGGGCGCCUUGCUAACCUCCCCUCUGAACAAUUUCCUGUGCUGCUGAGUCUCUGCACAUGGAUGCUCACCCCUAGCCUGCUGCUUCCAGAUACCACCCAGCAGGCUGGCUCUUCUUGCCUUUCUGGUCACAGGAAAAGUUGUGACCUUUUGGGAGCAGAUCUGCUCUGAGCUCCAGCUCCGCCUCACAGCAUUUUGCUUCAUUUCACUUUAGAGCCUGCUCUUCUCAGUUUCAUGCAUUUGUUUGCAUGAGUUUGCACUUUCUUCUUGGCCUAAGGAGCUUCUUGGCCUGUAGAAGGCAAGGACAGAGAUGAUGAUGGCUGACGGCCCUCGCAUAACCUGGGAAGCAUCAUCUCUGCAGCUGUGGUGCUUCCCAGUCAGGCAUUCCACCUGAAUGAGCUUUUUGGAUCUUUCCAAAGGUGGUUGUCAACAGGCACAUGGGACAAAAUCUGCCACCUGGUGGUGGAAUAGUGCUGCAACAUAUGUUAAAGUUGUUCUUUACUGUUUUGUUCAAUUUUAUUAUAACUGAUGAUAUAGGCAAUUCUUUUUAAGAUAGCAAGAGGCAUUAAUGGUAACCAUUGUUGAUCACCUUGUAUUUUGUUUUUACAUUAUUAUGUCCAUCCUUUUGAUUUGACUGACUCUGUCCUAUUAUGUCACAUUUGGUUUACAUUCUUCCAAAAAAAGUAAUUGUGUAAUUGUCAUUGUACAAAAGAGAGGAAAAGAAAGUGCUCUAAAGGACAUAACUGCAUGUAUAUUUAAGUGUAUAAGAUAGGUAACUAUAUUACCGAGUUUUAUUGGAUCAUUGAACGGAACUGUUUGCAGUCUCACUGUUUGAAUGUCCACUCUAUAUGCUUUAAUUUUGUAACUUGAACAAUUAUUUCUAGGAUGACAAUAUGUAAUCUAUUAACUAAUUAUUUCCUACUGUUUAUUUUUUCUGAAAUUCCGUAUAACUUGUACCCUUUUUCUGUUUUUUGUCUUUUUUCUCCUUAAAUAAAAAUUUAAAAAAAAGCCAAACAGGAACCAAACCAAGGAAAAUUUACAAAGCACAUGUCUGCGUGGUGGGGCUUCUAAGUGGAAGUGAUCUGGGGCCCUGAGGGAAAGUCUUGAGGACGCACAGGCAUCAGGGCCUCAGAUAGACUGAAAUACUCAGUUUCCCCCACCUCUUGGACUGCACUUUCCUGCAGUUUCUCAUGAGACCCCUGCAGCACAGCCACGACAAUGUCUCCAUCCCUGCUUCCCAGGGAGGACCCUAGGGCUGAAGCCAGGACAGUGUCACCAUAGUGUCACAAUAGCAGUCUCAUGAUUUCCUAUAUUCUGAAGUAUGCCAAGUGCUUAGUUCUUCAAACCUUGAGGCUCCUUGGUUGUUUUCAAGGCUUCUAAAAACAGCAAUGCCUUAAAUAUCUCAGGGUGCAGUGCACACUCAGUGUAGAAUCAAGCUCAAUAGAUAUUUCAUUGAUGAUUUUGGACCCCAGAGCAACUCACUUACUGUAAUCCCCAGUAGAAGGAAGCCCAGAAGGUUUCUUUUGGGGCACGCCUUCACUCUGGGGCUUCCCAGCAUGGUGGAGCAGUGGACAGAGGUCAGCAUGUGGUGCACCUUUGAGAGCUCUCCAGGCACACAGGAGCAUGCAGCUGACCGUGCAAGAUACGAUGAAGACAAUUAUUUGAGAUUUGGAGAGCAGCAAUAUAAAUGUUUGGAAGAUGUAGAGACCUGCAGAUAUUUCCAGUCCUUUCAGAAGCAUGAAGUGAGGAAUAUUGGAGAGAGACACUGUCAGUAUGGGCAGUGUGGGGAGGACAGCUCUAAUCUUAGUGAACAAACUCACGCUGGGCAGAAAACACUUGUAGGUUAGAAAAAAAAGAAAGCUUACACUACGUCUAACAAUUUUCAAAUACACAGGACAAAUCACAGUUCAAGGAGCUUAUAUAUACAGAAACGCUAUGAGAAUAGAUCUAUUUCUUUAUACUCUAUUGAAAAAAUGUUUAAAAUAUAGUGGAGAGAAACACCAUAUAACUGAGCAAUGUACAAAAACAUUAUUUUAUAGUAACUUCUUUAAAAAAACAUAAAGAACUUCACACUGGAAAGAAACUAUAUUUAUGCAAAGUAUGUGGGAAAGCAUUAAGUACAGGCAGUAGCUGUCAAAGACGUAAAAGGAUUCACACUGCAGAGAAAGCCUUUGUAUGAAACAAAUGUGGAAAAUCACUCAUUAAUUACCCAGAUUGUAAAAUACAUGAUAAAACUCACACUGGGGAGAAACAAUUUAUAGGUAAGAAAUGUGGGAAAUCUUUCCUUCAAAGUGAUAAACUUAUUACACAUGAAAAAAUUCACACAGAGGAGAAAUAUUAUGUGUGCAACAAAUGUGGGAAAACAUUCAGGAGAGCUUCAGAUUGUAAAAUAAAUGAUAGAAUUUACAUUAGUGAAAAACCCUAUGUAUGCAACAAGUAUGGGAAAGCAUUCAUGAGAGCCUCAGAUUGUACAAUACAUGAUAAAACUCACACUGGGGGAAAACCCUAUGUGUGCAACAAAUGUGGGAAAGCAUUCAGGACAGCCUCAGAUUUUAAAAUACAUGGUAGAAUUCACACUGAGGAAAAACCCUAUGUGUGCAACAAAUGUGAGAAAGCAUUCAGUACAGCCUAUGGUUGUAAAACACAUGAUAGAAUUCACAUGGGGGAACAACCCUUUGUAUGCAGCAAAUGUGGGAAAUCUUAAAGUGAUUAACUUAUUCCCCAUGAAAAAAUUCACACAGAGGAGAAAACGUAUGUAUGCAACAAAUGUGAAAAAACAUUGAGUACAGCCUUCAAUUGUAAAGCACAUGAUAGAGUUGCACUGGGGAGAAAUGAUAUAUAUGUAAGCAAUGUGGGAAUUCCUUCAGUUGAAAUGGUACCCUUAUACAUGAAAGAAAUCAUAUUGUCUAGAACUUUUAUGGAUACAAAUAAUGUGGCAAAGCAUUCAGUAUGCAGAAGUGCUGAAAAUAAAUCCUAUCUAUCUAUGUAUGAUAUUAGGGAUGUCUUUAAGCUAUAGUAGUGACUUUUGUGUAUAUAAAAGAAUUCACUCUGAAGAAAAACUAUCUAUAUGAGAAACAAGAAAAUGGAUUUUUUUGAUAAAUUCUGAUAUUAUAAACAUAAAAUAUCCCACACUAGAAAGAAAACUUAUGAACAUAAGGAAUGUAGGAAAAUUUUCCAGAACCAGAGAUAUUGUCACUACAUGAAAGAAUUCCCUCUGUGUAGUAAUUCUAUGCAUUUGAACAAUGGUCGAUACCAUUUAGUGCACAAAAGUGCCAUCAAAUAGAGGAAUAAUGCACACAAUAAAGAAAACCUUUGUGUGUAGGUUGUGUGGAAAAGAUUGGCUGGAGUGUUUCCCUUUUGCAAACAUAAGAUUCCCCUCAUGCUGAGGAAACUGCGUGUGAGAAAUAUUUGGUAAAAAUUCAGCUGAAAGACACUAUACUUCCGCGUGAUGCCAUAUUGUUUCCCUAGUUUAUGUAUGCAAUGUGGGAGAAAGCAUUUAGUACUUAUUAUUAUUGUCAAAUAUGUGAAAAUAAUCAUAGUUAAUUGAAAUCUCACAUAUGUGACUAUUUUGAAAAUAUUUCAAAAAUUACUCAUGUAGAGGAAACAUAAAAAUAAUAUAAAAUUAUUGCUGUCAGUAUAUAUUCAUAGAUUUUUUUUGGAAAUACUGUCAAACACAGAGUUAUCCUAAAAUGUUUUCAUUUCUUUUUAUGAAGCACACAUAAAUAUCUGAUUUGUCUUAGCCUUAAUAAAAUAUUAUAUUUGUUAAAGAAAAUAUAA